UCUAGUUAAGUUACUCUUCUUUGAGAAUGACUUUUUACAGAUAUCACAGUAAUAUGAUGUUUUUCCUAUUUCUUUAAGUAUCUCAUCACGAAAAUCAAUCCUUUUAGACUGUUUUAUAUUUAGCUUGGUGCUCACAUAAUUCAUUUUCUAUAAUUUUCUUCUUUCACCACAAUAUAGAUAAUUUUUAACAUGUUAGUUUUUAUAUUUGUUUCAUAAAUAAUUCUUCAAGAUCUUCCUCAAUAUCUGAAGGUGGUGCAAACAAUCACUUAGAAGCGAUCGGCAGAAUAAAUCAUCAGCUUCGAAGAAAAAUAAAUUCCCUGCGAUUCUUCGACGGAGAAAUCAUCUUUUACCAUAAAUAUUAUGCUUGGUUUCGGUUGGAAUAAAUAUGUGAUGUGUUGUAGAAUUGAUCUACUGGUUAGUUAGGCUGACUCUAACUGACAGACAAUCAGUAGAUUUUGGCUAAUAAUGGUAAGAAAUAAAUCUUCGCACUUUCCGUUUAAGAUUCAAAAAGACGGUUUACCUAUUUACUUAAUAUGUCAGGAGGUAACGACCGGAAGAAUGGAAAGGGAAGUGACAUAAGGAAUGAAUAAAAUACUCUCAUACUUAUACAA
rnacentral:lncRNA from 1 species